rnacentral:tRNA from 1 species
UGGGAGUUUAGUUUAGUGGUAAAACCUCGGUCUCCAAAACCGAAGUCAUAUGUUCGAUUCGUAUAGCUCCUGCCAC